UAUAAUAUACUACAUGUAAAAAAUUAUGAAUAAAUAUAAUGAGUACAAGCAACUUACAAAAACACAUUAGCAAAAACUAGUAUUUAAAAAUCUAUAACCUAAAUGACAGAAAAAAAAGAAGAAGAAGAAAUUUUAAAUAAUAUAAGCUAUGAAGAUGUUAAUUAAAAUAUAAAAAUAAAACUACAUAACUAGAACCCUUAAACCCCUUCCUCGCUAAACCCUCAACACAGCGGCCCGCCUACCGCUCCCAGCGAUCGUCCCUCUGCUCUUCACGCUGUCAACGUCGUUGCUGCGUCCUCUGGUCCUGGUUGCUUCUGCUCUCUCCUCCGCCGUUCCCCCUGGUCCUUGUCCCUGCGUCCGCUGGUCCAUUCCUUCUGCCUUCCGGUGCUGCUUCUCGCCGCUGGUCCUCGUCCUCAAUCAAGCCGCUGCUGCUCCUCGUCACUACGUCCUCGGUCACUGCAGNNNN
rnacentral:lncRNA from 1 species